rnacentral:misc_RNA from 1 species
UUUCCGUAGGUGAACCUGCGGAGGGAUCAUUCAUAAUAAAGUGUUUUAUGGCACUUUUUAAAAAUCCAUAUCCACCUUGUGUGCAAUGUUAGAUCUCGUCAAUCUUGGCGAGAUUUUUAUACAUCAACUCAUUCUUUAACUGAUUUGUCUGAAAAAUAUUAUGAAUACUUAAUUCAAAAUACAACUUUCAACAACGGAUCUCUUGGCUCUC